rnacentral:lncRNA from 1 species
AUUCUAGCUCGCGAAGGAAAUAUUGAUUUAUCAUUUUUCCAAAGGUACUAUUAUAAUGCCAUGUGGUCUAGCUACUAUUUGAGAUUUUUUAUUUUGAGGUUCCUCAUUUCUUUAAGGUGAAUGCUUGAUGUGUUCUUUCUUGAAGAAAUGAACUAAGAUCCUUCAUCAUCCCUUAUUAUAUCAGUGCUUUAUUAUAAUGUUCUAUCAUCCCUCAUCAUCAUAGUAUUAAACAAGAGCUGUCAUUGGGUGCAUUUUUCUAUUAAUUACUUGCUAUAUCAUCCUCAUCUACUCAGUGUUUUUCUAAUUAAAGUUUAUUAUGUUUCAGCAUUAAGUUUGUCAUUUUGUUCUCACUUUUCUUGAGCAGGUCAUUACAGGGGUGGAAGUCUAAAAUAGUGGAGGUCUAAUCGUUGCUUGGCUAUUGCAACCAGUGGAGGUCUAAACCAGCAAAGGACCGGGGUGGAAGUCUAAAAUAGUGGAGGUCUAAUCAUUCUUUCACUUAUUAAUUGAUUUUUUUCUAUGGGAGUAUCAUGAUGCUCUACAUUGUGAUUCUUGGUUGGCUCUUUGUAUGAUUUUGUGGCAGGUUUGUGGUGGAUUAAAUGAGUCGUACGUUGAGCUGGAGAUACUUGUGAAUUCACAAGAAAAUUGUACCAGAUGGCUAGCUAGUUGCAUAUUUAAUAUGUUUAAUAUUUUUGUAAGGCAUAAUAGUAUAGAUAGAGCAGUUGUUGAAUUUUGACUAUAUUCAAAUCUUGUAUGAAUUCUUUUUUAUGAUAAUAAUAUAAAAUUAAAUAUUUUGGAUGAUA